rnacentral:rRNA from 1 species
UACGUAGGGUGCAAGCGUUGUCCGGAAUUAUUGGGCGUAAAGAGCUCGUAGGCGGUUUGUCGCGUCUGCUGUGAAAACUCGGGGCUUAACUCCGGGCCUGCAGUGGGUACGGGCAGACUAGAGUGCGGUAGGGGAGACUGGAAUUCCUGGUGUAGCGGUGAAAUGCGCAGAUAUCAGGAGGAACACCGGUGGCGAAGGCGGGUCUCUGGGCUGACACGUGACGCUCAUGCACGAAAGCGUGGGGAGCAAACAGG